AUGCUCCUCUGCACAAAUCGAGUAAAAAAAUGCAGCUAUGCUGGCUUAAAAGCUGAAAAUCUACAUUAGAUCUAGAGUACCGCCAUUUAGUGAUUGAAUUAGAUUAGAAUUUUAUUAUAAUGGCCAUAAUAAUGAUUUUGUUUUUCAGUCAAGCAAUUAAGCAACCAAGCAACCACUAACCACUCAACAAGCCAGACACUCCUGAGGAAAUGAUACUUCACUUAAUAGGCAUAGAAGCUUUAUUUGAUCUGCCAUUUUCCACUUAGAACAGAGUCACUUUGAACAAAGGUUUCCGAGUUUUACAACAGCAAAGGACUCUUCACAUCAGAACAUAAAGGCAGUGACAACAGUUUGGACCAGGAGAGACACAAAUGUCCUUACAACACGGUUUGCAAGCAUUUUAAAGUCUGCUCAUUUGUGUGGGUUCAUUCAUGAUCUGCAUGGGCUAGUAAGAGUGCAACCUUUAAAAAAUAAAUUAAUUUAGACAUUUGUCUUAAAGGGAAGGAACAUUUCCAGCUGAGAUGCACGCAUGCUCCUAACAACAAUAUGCAGAAAAUAAUCAAAUUUAUGCACAAACCUCAUGGACCCUCUAGGUGUACAGAAAACAGUAUAGUAUGUAGAAGAUUUCAGUUCAUGCAAAAAAAAGUAAAGUGUAAAAUAAAUAUGACAAACGCGGGCGGUGUGGUAGUUCACUAAAACGAAGAAAAUGUUGUUAGUGACGAUAUAAUAAUCUAAAUAUCUUACAAUUUAUCGGCAGUAUACUAUUUGCAGUUACAGUAUGUAGAAACUCUCCACGAUAUAAAACAUUUUAACAUGAAACCACAUCUUUAAACUCUAAAACUUGAACUCAUUUUCACAUUGAAGCAUAAUAAUACAAACAUGACUUUCUAGCUGAAACUCAGUCACUCACAUGAAACUUUUAGAAAUGGCACAGAUACGCACGAGACACAUACAUUCACCAAUCCAAAGAGUAAAGUUUUCUGUUUUUGGCUUUACAUUACUGAACUUCUUAACACUGUCCUGGCAGAAUACAUUCUCUACAGAAAAUACCACACAGACCAUGAGGUGUGUGGAUAUUUGACUAGUGUGUGUGUGUGUGUGUGUGUGUGUGUGUGUGUGUGUGUGUGUGUGUGUGUGUGUGUGUGUGUGUGUGUGUGUUUUCCAUGCAUAAAACCUUGCAACAAAAGAUGUCUUUUUGAAUCUCAUUUCUUUGUACUUUUCCAUCUUGAUUUAAACCCGGGAAGCGAAAGAAUGACAUGCACCAAAUAUAAAUAAGAAAUUAAUGUAUUGCCCUAACAUUGAUACAGCAGAAAUUGAGGGAUUCAUAAACAUGAGCGAUAAGAAGAUGCUAAAGAGUUGCACAUAUAUCUCAACUGAAUAUUUCUUGUAUUAUUUUCCUAGUGAUAAAACAUCAUUGCCAAAUCAGGACCCCUGACUCUAAAUUAUGAUUUUUUUUUUAUUUUUUAAAUACAAUAAGUCUCUGAGUGGCUGUGAAGCAGUCACCUAGUAUUAUGAAAUACAUGAUAUAGUGAUGG
ensembl:lncRNA